GCUGACAUGGCUCAGUAGUUGAGCAUUGGCCUGUGAACCAAGAGGUCAUGGUUUGAUUCCAGGUCAGAGCA
rnacentral:tRNA from 1 species